ACUCCUACGGGAGGCAGCAGUGGGGAAUUUUGGACAAUGGGCGAAAGCCUGAUCCAGCAAUGCCGCGUGUGUGAAGAAGGCCUUCGGGUUGUAAAGCACUUUUGUCCGGAAAGAAAUCCUUGGCUCUAAUACAGUCGGGGGAUGACGGUACCGGAAGAAUAAGCACCGGCUAACUACGUGCCAGCAGCCGCGGUAAUACGUAGGGUGCGAGCGUUAAUCGGAAUUACUGGGCGUAAAGCGUGCGCAGGCGGUUUGCUAAGACCGAUGUGAAAUCCCCGGGCUCAACCUGGGAACUGCAUUGGUGACUGGCAGGCUAGAGUAUGGCAGAGGGGGGUAGAAUUCCACGUGUAGCAGUGAAAUGCGUAGAGAUGUGGAGGAAUACCGAUGGCGAAGGCAGCCCCCUGGGCCAAUACUGACGCUCAUGCACGAAAGCGUGGGGAGCAAACAGGAUUAGAUACCCGUGUAGUCCCAUG
rnacentral:rRNA from 1 species